GGCCGUCCCGCCUCGUUUUGGGCACGCACGCGCGCGCGCACGCGGCGGCACCCUCCCCCUCCCGCCCUGCCCUGGCGCUGCUCUAGCGGCACCUGCGGGGGCAGGCGGGGGCGCGAGCCCCGGGCGGGCGGCGGAGCGCGUAGGGCUAGGGACAGACGUGCGAGUGCAGGGGCGCACGGGUUUGGUGCGGGGGUGGUGCAGGGGCGGUGCAGGGGCAGGCUCUGCGGUGGCGAGGAGAAGCAGGAGGAGGAAAAGGAGGAGGAGGAAGGGGCCCCGCGGGUUGGUGCGGGGCUGCCCCAGCGGGCUGGAGGCCUCCCCAGCAUCACCAUCCGGAGCGGAGGAGCAGCGCGGCCUCAGGGGGGCAGGGGGCCCGGGGCCCCGUGGGGUGGGAUCCAGACCGCCGAGGGGCUGAGCCCGGCGGUGCCAGAGCAGCCGCGGCUCAGCGGGCGAGGGUUGCUCAGCUGGGAACCGCAGCAGAGGCAGGGGCUGAGGCCCAGCGUGCAGGAGCAGGGGGGUGUGAGCCCGGGGGUGCAGGAGCAGGGUGGGGUGGGCGCGGGGGUGCAGGAGCAGGGUGCGCGCGGCGGCCGCAGGCCAAGCGCGGGGAGCAGCGCUGGCUCUACUGGAGCUCCCCGGGGGUGCGCGAGCCUGCAGCUUUGGGGCCGCUCAGGGAGCUGGCCGGCGGUUCAGGAGGUGGGCUUGGGUCCUAGGAAGCAGCACCAGGAGAAAGGGGGAGGGAGCCCUGCAGUCCAGGAACGCGGGGAGGCUGGGGCAGGUGUGCAGGAGCGGGGCGAAGGGACAGGUCUGCAAAGACAGCCGGUAGAGCAAGAAAUCGGGAGCGAGCAAGGAGAGUGGUUUAGGGGGAGCCCUGGAGAGCAAGUGGAGUGGUUUGGGGGUAGCUCUUGGGAGCAGGGGGAGCCGCUUAGGAGCCCAGGCAAACAGGCAGAGCAAUUUGGGGGAAGGCCACCUGAACGGUUUAGGGAGAGCUCUGGGAAACACAGAAGAGAGGAAGUGACCCAGCAUAUCUGGAGAGGGCUAGAGCUGCUUGGUGGAGCCCAACUGGUAGGACCCAAGGGACCUGAAGGAGAAGGUCGGCUGGGGGUGCAAGAGGUAAAUUGGAGGCCGGGGGUGCAGGAGGGAGAAGUCAGAUCCUCUGUCCAGGAAACUUAUUUUGAGAGAAAGGGACACAGAGAGGGACAGGGCCUUCCCCAGAGUGUUGAGGCCAUUUCUGAGGGGCAUAGGAUAAGGAAGAGAAGGCGGAGAAGGAGGUGGUAA
rnacentral:lncRNA from 1 species